GGUUUGAUUCUUACAGAUGGAUCAAGAAACGCCGUGUGUUCCCACAAAGCCGUUUGAAGGAGAGAUGGACUCAGAGGUGUGCAGUCUUUCGAAGCGGCCGGCGUUCACGGUUCACGGCUCCGUGGCUGCUGUCAGU